CUACGGGCCGCUGCAGUGGGGAAUAUUGGACAAUGGGGGGAACCCUGAUCCAGCGAUGCCGCGUGUGCGAAGAAGGCCUGCGGGUUGUAAAGCACUUUCGUUUGGGAAGAAAGUCUGAAGAAGAUGUGACGAAACCAAAAGAAGAAGCACCGGCAAACUCUGUGCCAGCAGCCGCGGUAAUACAGAGGGUGCAAGCGUUAAUCGGAGUUACUGGGCGUAAAGGGCGUGUAGGCGGAUAUGUAAGUCAGUUGUGAAAUCCCUGGGCUCAACCUAGGAAUGGCAAAUGAUACUGUGUAUCUAGAGAUUGAUAGAGGAAAGUAGAAUUUUCGGUGUAGUGGUUAAAUACGUAGAUAUCGAGAGGAAUACCGGAUGCGAAGGCGGCUUUCUGGAUCAAAUCUGACGCUGAGGCGCGAGAGCAUGGGUAGCAAACAGGAUUAGAUACCCUAGUAGUC
rnacentral:rRNA from 1 species